GUUGGGGCAAGUAUGGACACAACAUUCAAGCUGGAUUCAGCUCUAAAUUUGGAUUGUGAUUAAAUAGUUGACACAGCAUAGGUUUUGGACACAGAAUGAAUGUGGUCUAAUGAACUUAAAAUAUUUUGUUUGCCUUUGAGCAAUUCACUAUGCUGUUGAAUAUUAAUCCUCUCAAACAAAUGUUUGAAGACAUUUUCUUUUUAUUUAUGAAAUCUGAAAUGAGAAAAAUU
rnacentral:lncRNA from 1 species